rnacentral:rRNA from 1 species
CGCAUCUGUGCAUGCAGCAUAUCAAUAAGCGGAGGAAAAGAAACUAACAAGGAUUCCCUUAGUAACGGCGAGUGAAGCGGGAAGAGCUCAAAUUUGAAAUCUUCAAGGUUUUACCUUGACGAAUUGUAGUUUAAAGAAGUGUUUUCUGUUGAAGUUUUGGUAAAAGUUCUUUGGAAUAGGACAUCAUAGAGGGUGAGAAUCCCGUAUUUGACCAUUAUUUUCAGCUGUGUGAUACACUUUCAAAGAGUCGGAUUGUUUGGGAAUGCAGUCCAAAAUGGGUGGUAAAUUUCAUCUAAAGCUAAAUAUUGGCGAGAGACCGAUAGCGAACAAGUACCGUGAGGGAAAGAUGAAAAGAACUUUGAAAAGAGAGUUAAACAGUACGUGAAAUUGUCAAAAGGGAAGCGUUUGACACCAGUGUUGUUUUCUCGAAAAUCAAUUAAAAAGAGUUAGAUUUUGUUGUGUAUUGACCUUAACAGCCUGCAUUUCAAUUUUCUUGCUUUUUUUAAUGCACUUUUCGUUUAACAAGUCAACAUCAGUUUCUUUUGUUGUAAAAAGGUCAUUGGAAGGUGGCUUUCUUUUCGGAGAAAGUGUUUAUAGCCUUUGACUCCUGCAAUCGGAGAGACUGAGGUCUGCAGCGUAGAUCCUUCGGGGUUAGAUACAUUUGUGCUAAGUUAUAGCUUUUUAUAGACAACUUGUUGACUAUGAUUAGUCUUGUAGCUUACUCGCUUAUGCUAUUUUACCUACGCUUAGGAUGUUGACACACGCGCGUGCUCG